CGUACAGAACUCAUAUGAGGUCUGUAAUCGAAAUGAGUGCAUUAUAAAUCCUUUACGAGAUCUAUUGGAGGGCAAGUCUGGUGCCAGCAGCCGCGGUAACUCCAGCUCCAAUAGCAUUAUUAAUAUUGCUGCAGUUAAAAAGCUCGUAGUUGGAUCUGGGUUCAGGUUUGGAAUCUCAUGUAUGGAUGACUUGUUGUCUGUGCUGUAGUAUAUCUAGGCCGAAUCUUCCAGCUGUUCUGUGUGGUGAUUCGUUACUGCAUAGAUAGUGUAUUUGUCUUGUAAGGCCUCACGGCUUCUUGCAUUUAUGCUAUGCACUGUCAAUGCCUUUAACCGGGUGUUCAGUGUGGACAGCAGUUUACUUUGAACAAAUUUGAGUGCUCAAAGCAGGCCUUGUUGCCUGAAAAGUCUUGCAG
rnacentral:rRNA from 1 species